UGCGUUUAACUUUGACUGGACUUUGGACUUUUCUUAGGCAAUCACAUGCAGCUUGAGCUGUGAGAGAGUCUGGUUUUGUGGGCUAAGCCAACAGGGAAGCACUUGCCAUGGUCCCACUCCACAGACAGGAAUUCUUAGGCUCUAAGAGGUGCCUUGAGCCUGCACAGGCACAAGCAGGACCAGGGGCUUGAUCUCAGUGAUGUCACCAGAGAUUUCCAGCUCAAGUAGAUGCAAAGGAGUCAUUGUCUACUCUUCCUUGGAGAGUGAAGACGGAGAGAGCCAUGGACUCUAAUGACUACACACCCGACCAUCUCAGAAAGGCUCCUAGGUCUCAGGCCGUGAUUGGGUGAUUCCAUUGCUGUGUGCCUGCUUGAGUUGAGCACCACGGGAGGGGGCAUGCGCAAGACGCUAGAUUGAAGACGUUCACUUCGCAGUGGACCAGAAGCAAACACAAACAAAAAUCGGUACUGGGGUCCCACUUUUCAAUGCCAGUUGUGAAUCCAUCAGAGAGUUAAUUCAGUAAUCCGCUUUCACAACUCUGUAAGGUAGCCAUGUAUUCAACACAUGAACUUGAGGAAGACAUUUCAUACUUGGAUGGUAACAGUCACGAACAGUUCGAGAGCCUGUGGGGCAGUGUGUCCACAGAUGCCAUGGGAGCGCCACACCUCCCUCUGGUAACUGAACUUUAUUCAUCCUUCUAUUUGGCUGCUCCUGGGUUGUGUUCUUUAUAAUAAACAAUACAACUUUC